GCUUGCUCCUCUGACGUUAGCGGCGGACGGGUGAGUAACACGUGGAUAACCUACCUAUAAGACUGGGAUAACUUCGGGAAACCGGAGCUAAUACCGGAUAAUAUAUUGAACCGCAUGGUUCAAUAGUGAAAGACGGUUUUGCUGUCACUUAUAGAUGGAUCCGCGCCGCAUUAGCUAGUUGGUAAGGUAACGGUUUACCAAGGCAACGAUGCGUAGCCGACCUGAGAGGGUGAUCGGCCACACUGGAACUGAGACACGAUCCAGACUCCUACGGGAGGCAGCAGUAGGGAAUCUUCCGCAAUGGGCGAAAGCCUGACGGAGCAACGCCGCGUGAGUGAUGAAGGUCUUCGGAUCGUAAAACUCUGUUAUUAGGGAAGAACAAAUGUGUAAGUAACUAUGCACGUCUUGACGGUACCUAAUCAGAAAGCCACGGCUAACUACGUGCCAGCAGCCGCGGUAAUACGUAGGUGGCAAGCGUUAUCCGGAAUUAUUGGGCGUAAAGCGCGCGUAGGCGGUUUUUUAAGUCUGAUGUGAAAGCCCACGGCUCAACCGUGGAGGGUCAUUGGAAACUGGAAAACUUGAGUGCAGAAGAGGAAAGUGGAAUUCCAUGUGUAGCGGUGAAAUGCGCAGAGAUAUGGAGGAACACCAGUGGCGAAGGCGACUUUCUGG
rnacentral:rRNA from 1 species